AGGCUCCUAAAAAUAAGCAUCCGCUCGGCUCAGGAUCCUGCUGCCUCUCCACCUGGCCCCAGAGUGUCCUUGCUUCCUGGCCUGGGAACUGGCUGGCUUGCUGCAGGGGUUCCGCCAGUGCCAGGGCAGCACAGAGUCCAGGGGAAUCAGAAGCUCUGUAAACAUACCAGCUCUCAGAAGCACAAGGCACAAGUGCCAGCCUUAAAUGAGUCCUGGACCUUCACCCAAGGCUGACAGCAGGGCGCACACCACCAACUCACACCCAGCUCACGCAGCUGCGGCUACUCC